rnacentral:rRNA from 1 species
UAACAAGGAUUCCCCUAGUAACGGCGAGCGAAGCGGGAAGAGCUCAAAUUUGAAAGCUGGCACCUCCGGUGUCCGCGUUGUAAUCUCGAGACGUGUUUUCCGUGUGGCGCUAUGGACAAGUCCCUUGGAACAGGGCAUCGUAGAGGGUGAAAAUCCCGUACUUGCCAUGGAUGUACCAUGCUUUGUGAUACACGCUCUAAGAGUCGAGUUGUUUGGGAUUGCAGCUCAAAAUGGGUGGUAGACUCCAUCUAAAGCUAAAUAUCGGGGAGAGACCGAUAGCGAACAAGUACCGUGAGGGAAAGAUGAAAAGCACUUUGGAAAGAGAGUUAAAAGUACGUGAAAUUGUCGAAAGGGAAGCGCUUGAAGUCAGCCAUGCUGCUUGAGACUCAGCCUUGCUUUUGCUUGGUGUAUUUCUCGGUAGCAAGCCAGCAUUGGUUUGAGUCGUCGGAGAAGGGUACGAGAAAUGUGGCAUCCUCGGAUGUGUUAUAGGCUUGUACUGGAUACGACGAUUUGGAUCAAGGAACGCAGUGUGCCUCUGGCGGGUCUUCGGACACCUUCACACUUAGGA